CCUACGGGUGGCAGCAGUCGAGAAUCAUUCACAAUGGGGGAAACCCUGAUGGUGCGACGCCGCGUGGGGGAAUGAAGGUCUUCGGAUUGUAAACCUCUGUUAUGUGGGAGUAAAUUAAAAAGAUAGUACCACAAGAGGAAGAGACGGUUAACUACGUGCCAGCAGCCGCGGUAAUACGUAGGGAGCGAGCGUUGUCCGGAUUUACUGGGUGUAAAGGGUGCGUAGGCGGCUAGACAAGUCAGGUGUGAAAUACCGCAGCUCAACUGCGAGGCUGCACUUGAAACUGUAGGGCUUGAGUGAGGGAGAGGUAGGCGGAAUUCGUAGUGUAGCGGUAAAAUGCAUAGAUAUUAGGAAGAACACCGAUGGCGAAGGCAGCUUACUGGACAUUAACUGACGCUGAGGCACGAAAGCGUGGGGAGCAAACAGGAUUAGAUACCCCUGUAGUC
rnacentral:rRNA from 1 species